rnacentral:rRNA from 1 species
AGAGUUUGAUCCUGGCUCAGAUUGAACGCUGGCGGCAUGCCUUACACAUGCAAGUCGAACGGCAGCAUGAUCUAGCUUGCUAGAUUGAUGGCGAGUGGCGAACGGGUGAGUAAUACAUCGGAACGUGCCCUGUAGUGGGGGAUAACUAGUCGAAAGAUUAGCUAAUACCGCAUACGACCUGAGGGUGAAAGUGGGGGACCGCAAGGCCUCAUGCUAUAGGAGCGGCCGAUGUCUGAUUAGCUAGUUGGUGAGGUAAAGGCUCACCAAGGCGACGAUCAGUAGCUGGUCUGAGAGGACGAUCAGCCACACUGGGACUGAGACACGGCCCAGACUCCUACGGGAGGCAGCAGUGGGGAAUUUUGGACAAUGGGCGAAAGCCUGAUCCAGCAAUGCCGCGUGUGUGAAGAAGGCCUUCGGGUUGUAAAGCACUUUUGUCCGGAAAGAAAUGGCUCUGGUUAAUACCUGGGGUCGGUGACGGUACCGGAAGAAUAAGGACCGGCUAACUACGUGCCAGCAGCCGCGGUAAUACGUAGGGUCCAAGCGUUAAUCGGAAUUACUGGGCGUAAAGCGUGCGCAGGCGGUUGUGCAAGACCGAUGUGAAAUCCCCGAGCUUAACUUGGGAAUUGCAUUGGUGACUACACGGCUAGAGUGUGUCAGAGGGGGGUAGAAUUCCACGUGUAGCAGUGAAAUGCGUAGAGAUGUGGAGGAAUACCGAUGGCGAAGGCAGCCCCCUGGGAUAACACUGACGCUCAUGCACGAAAGCGUGGGGAGCAAACAGGAUUAGAUACCCUGUAGUCCACGCCCUAAACGAUGUCAACUAGUUGUUGGGGAUUCAUUUCCUUAGUAACGUAGCUAACGCGUGAAGUUGACCGCCUGGGGAGUACGGUCGCAAGAUUAAACUCAAAUGAAUUGACGG